CCCCGGUUAGCUCAUUUGGUAGAGCGCUCCAUUGGAAAUGGAGAGGUCCUUGGUUCGAUACCAGGACCAGGCG
rfam:Ixodes scapularis strain Wikel colony gcontig_1108379316646, whole genome shotgun sequence.